CUGGCGGCGUGCCUAUACAUGCAAGUCGAGCGAACAGACAAGGAGCUUGCUCCUUUGACGUUAGCGGCGGACGGGUGAGUAACACGUGGGUAACCUACCUAUAAGACUGGGAUAACUUCGGGAAACCGGAGCUAAUACCGGAUAAUAUUUCGAACCGCAUGGUUCGAUAGUGAAAGAUGGUUUUGCUAUCACUUAUAGAUGGACCCGCGCCGUAUUAGCUAGUUGGUAAGGUAACGGCUUACCAAGGCGACGAUACGUAGCCGACCUGAGAGGGUGAUCGGCCACACUGGAACUGAGACACGGUCCAGACUCCUACGGGAGGCAGCAGUAGGGAAUCUUCCGCAAUGGGCGAAAGCCUGACGGAGCAACGCCGCGUGAGUGAUGAAGGUCUUCGGAU
rnacentral:rRNA from 1 species